rnacentral:lncRNA from 1 species
UUCUCUCUCUUUUUCUUUCUUUUUUUUUUUGAGAUGGAGUCUCACUCUGUUGCCCAGGCUGGAGUGCAGUGGUGUGAUUUUGGCUCACUGCAAGCUCUGCCUCCCAGGUUCACGCCAUUCUCCUGUCUCAGCCUCCUGAGUAGCUGGGACUACAGCGCCCGCCACCACACCCAGCUAUUUUUUUUGUAUUUUUAUUAGAGAUGGGGUU